rnacentral:rRNA from 1 species
GAUGAACGCUGGCGGCGUGCCUAAUACAUGCAAGUCGAGCGAACAGAUAAGGAGCUUGCUCCUUUGACGUUAGCGGCGGACGGGUGAGUAACACGUGGGUAACCUACCAAUAAGACUGGGCUAAACUCGGGAAACCGGUGCUAAUACCGGAAAAUAUUUCGAACCGCAUUGUUCGAUAGUGAAAGAUGGUUUUGAUAUCACUUAUAGAUGGACCCGCGCCGUAUUAGCUAGUUGGUAAGGUAACGGCUUACCAAGGCGACGAUACGUAGCCGACCUGAGAGGGUGAUCGGCCGCACUGGAGCGAAGACACGGUCCAGACUCCGACGGGAGGCAGCAGUAGGGAAUCUUCGGCAGUGGGCGGAAGCCUGACGUAGCAACGCCGCGUGAGUGAGAAAGGUCUUCGGAGCGUGAAACACUGUUGUUAGGGAAGAACAUACGUGUGAGUAACUGGGCACGUCUUGACGGUACCUAAUCAGAAAGCCACGGCUAACUACGUG